GCCUCUAUGGCGCAGUGGUAACGCGUCGCACUUGUAAUGCGAAGAUCCUGGGUUCAACUCCCAGUGGAGGCA
rnacentral:tRNA from 1 species